rnacentral:rRNA from 1 species
UACAGAGGUCUCAAGCGUUUGUUCGGAUUCAUUGGGCGUAAAGGGUGCGUAGGUGGCCAACUAAGUCAGACGUGAAAUCCCUCGGCUUAACCGGGGAACUGCGUCUGAUACUGGAUGGCUUGAGUGUGGGAGAGGGAUGCGGAAUUCCAGGUGUAGCGGUGAAAUGCGUAGAUAUCAAGAGGAACACCUGAGGUGAAGACGGGUUGCUGGGCUGACACUGACGCUGAGGCGCGAAAGCCAGGGGAGCAAACGGG